rnacentral:misc_RNA from 1 species
GUCAACCCCCCUCCCUUCUUCUCUCUCUCUCUUAUUCAUCAUUCUCUUCUCUACUUCUUCUUCUCCUGCUUUCUUUCACUUUGCUUUUUCCGCAAAACAAUGAGAGAUCAAAUAUAGUCUCUUCAAAUCCCAAGAAACAACCGUCUGUUUAUCUAUAUAUCAAUCUGCUUUUUUCUUUCCCCUUUGAAUUUGAUGGGUAACGGCGUUGCCAAAGUCAGCCACUGUUGUGCUGCUGCAGGGGACAUCUCCAAUCGGCAUGACAUCGCCGUUUAUGUCGGCGACCACCUCCACAAGGGACUGGGUCAUUCCUUCUGUUAUAUACAGUCCGACCCAGCUCUCUUAUCCAACUCAAAAAUCCACUCCGAGGAAACGACAACGUUUUUCUCUAUCUCCGGUGCCUCUGUAAGCGCUAAUACUUCAACGUCUCUCAGCGAUGCUUGUCUCUACAGCUCUAGUUUGGAUGAGGCCUCCUCUUUUGAAAGCUCCGAUUCUUUCGCUUCCGUCCCUCUUCAGCCCGUCCCUCGUGGGCAGCUUCAAUCCGGCUCUGCUAUGCUCGUACCGGGUUCGAGUCCAAUUGAACGAGGGUUUUUAUCGGGUCCCAUCGAGCGUGGGUUUCUUUCGGGACCCAUUGAACGUGGGUUUGUGUCGGCACCUAUUGAUCGGGGCUUAUAUUCCGGUCUGAUGGAGAAAGAAAAAGAAAGGGAAAACGGCGGCAAGUUACAGAGGAGUUUCUCUCAUGGGGGUAUUGGUAUUGACGAUGUCCAAGUUAAAACCAAGAAGCAAAGCUUGAUAAAGACUUUAAAGAGAGCAAUAUCGAACACCAUCUCUCGAGGGAAAAAAUCUAUAAUGGCACCGAUCAAAGGUGUUAAAGAAUCAGUUUCAGCUGGAACUGGCGAAAACUUGAGCGGUAGCAGUGCUAAUUUCAGUGCCCAGGCGAGCUCCAAUAAUGAUGUUGAUGAUGAUAGUUUGUUUUCAAUGGAAAGCCAGAAUCUGCAAUGGGCACAAGGGAAAGCAGGUGAGGAUCGAGUUCAUAUAGUAAUAUCAGAGGAACAUGGAUGGGUUUUUGUGGGAAUUUAUGAUGGCUUUAAUGGCCCUGAUGCUCCUGAUUAUUUGCUUUCCAAUCUCUAUACUAAUGUUAAUGAGGAGCUCAAAGGAUUGUUAUGGAUGGACAAGUUUGAAUCCGCUUCAAAAACAGAGGAAACAAAGGAGGCAUCACCUUCGAUUGACAAGGAAAAUCAUCCAUUUGGCACUAGAGAUGAGGAUUUCGACUUAAAUCAUUACUUGAAGAGAACCCAGGGAAAGAAUUCGAGGCAUAGGAGUAAAGGCGCAGCAAAAAGAUGGGAGGAGAGCCAGAGGAGGUGGAGGUGUGAAUGGGACAGAGAAAGAAUGGAACUUGAUAGGAAAUUAAAAGAGAAACUGAAUUGUAAAGGGUCCAACUCUAAUGGGGUUAACCAUUUCGAUGUUUUGAACGCACUUUCCCAGGCAUUGAAGAAGACUGAGGAGUCCUUCUUUGAAAUUGCUGAUAAGAUGGCAGCAGAGAAACCUGAGUUAUCUUUGAUGGGUUCUUGUGUUUUGGUGAUGCUGAUGAAAGGAGAAGAUGUUUACUUGAUGAAUGUUGGAGAUAGCCGAGCUGUUUUGGCACAGAAAUGUGAAACAGAUCUUGGAAUAGGGAAAGUAAACCAGGAUUUGGAAAUCAUCAAUGAGGAAAGUAUGCGUGAUCUGGAAGUCUUUGAUGGUGAUGAAUUAUACAGAUUGAGUAGCUUGAGUUACCUUCAGCUUACCCUGGAUCAUAGCACUUACGUGCAUAAGGAAGUUCAGAGAAUUAAAAAGGAACAUCCUGACGAUCCUUGUGCAGUAAUGAAUGAG